UCCUACGGGAGGCAGCAGUGGGGAAUCUUGCACAAUGGAGGAAACUCUGAUGCAGCGAUGCCGCGUGAGUGAAGAAGGCCCUUGGGUUGUAAAGCUCUUUCGUCGGGGAAGAAAAUGACUGUACCCGAAUAAGAAGGUCCGGCUAACUUCGUGCCAGCAGCCGCGGUAAUACGAAGGGACCUAGCGUAGUUCGGAAUUACUGGGCUUAAAGAGUUCGUAGGUGGUUGAAAAAGUUAGUGGUGAAAUCCCAGAGCUUAACUCUGGAACUGCCAUUAAAACUUUUCAGCUAGAGUAUGAUAGAGGAAAGCAGAAUUUCUAGUGUAGAGGUGAAAUUCGUAGAUAUUAGAAAGAAUACCAAUUGCGAAGGCAGCUUUCUGGAUCAUUACUGACACUGAGGAACGAAAGCAUGGGUAGCGAAGAGGAUUAGAUACCCUCGUAGUCCAUGCCGUAAACGAUGUGUGUUAGACGUUGGAAAUUUAUUUUCAGUGUCGCAGCGAAAGCGAUAAACACACCGCCUGGGGAGUACGACCGCAAGGUUAAAACUCA
rnacentral:rRNA from 1 species